rnacentral:rRNA from 1 species
GAUGAACGCUGGCGGCGUGCCUAAUACAUGCAAGUCGAGCGAACGGACGAGAAGCUUGCUUUUCUGAUGUUAGCGGCGGACGGGUGAGUAACACGUGGAUAACCUACCUAUAAGACUGGGAUAACUUCGGGAAACCGGAGCUAAUAUCGGAUAAUAUUUUGAACCGCAUGGUUCAAAAGUGAAAGACGGUCUUGCUGUCACUUAUAGAUGGAUCCGCGCUGCAUUAGCUAGUUGGUAAGGUAACGGCUUACCAAGGCAACGAUGCAUAGCCGACCUGAGAGGGUGAUCGGCCACACUGGAACUGAGACACGGUCCAGACUCCUACGGGAGGCAGCAAUAGGGAAUCUUCCGCAAUGGGCGAAAGCCUGACGGAGCAACGCCGCGUGAGUGAUGAAGGUCUUCGGAUCGUAAAACUCUGUUAUUAGGGAAGAACAUAUGUGUAAGUAACUGUGCACAUCUUGACGGUACCUAAUCAGAAAGCCACGGCUAACUACGUG